AGAGUUUGAUCCUGGCUCAGGAUGAACGCUAGCUACAGGCUUAACACAUGCAAGUCGAGGGGCAGCAGGGAGGAAGCUUGCUUCUUGCUGGCGACCGGCGCACGGGUGAGUAACGCGUAUCCAACCUUCCCCUUAGUAGAGGAUAGCCCCGGCGAAAGUCGGAUUAAUACUCUAUGUUCUUCACAUGAGGCAUCGAACGUGAAGCAAAGGCUUGCCGCUAAGGGAUGGGGAUGCGUCUGAUUAGGUUGUUGGCGGGUAACGGCCCACCAAGCCUACGAUCAGUAGGGGUUCUGAGAGGAAGGUCCCCCACAUUGGAACUGAGACACGGUCCAAACUCCUACGGGAGGCAGCAGUGAGGAAUAUUGGUCAAUGGCCGAGAGGCUGAACCAGCCCAAGUAGCGUGCAGGAUGACGGCCCUAUGGGUUGUAAACUGCUUUUAUACGGGGAUAAAGUGGGGGACGUGUCCCUUUUUGUAGGUACCGUAUGAAUAAGGACCGGCUAAUUCCGUGCCAGCCGCGGC
rnacentral:rRNA from 1 species